AUGUGCGCCACUUGUCGUGACCUGGGAAGAUGGAGUGUUCUUUGCAACGAGUGCUCCUUAAUUAGUGAUUUCGGACUUCGAGAGAUGCGUAGAAGAAGACCAGGGCGCUCAUGGGCCUGCUCGGAUGGGCAAGUGGGCCAUAAUGGAAUUGCUUCUUCCAAAAAUCAUGACGUGGCCGCGAAGGAUAGAAGAACGGCUCAAUAUGUGCGCUCCUGCGACCUGCCUCAUCCCCUCCGCCUACCACCGCCACCAUCACCGCCUCCACCGCUCGCCGCGCCGCUCGCCGUCGUCGCCGCCACACCUUCUACCCCGCAUCGAGAGAGAGUGCCUCCGACUGCGCCCACCCUAUGGCGCGGGAGAGGGCACUCCGAGAUCUCGAGAGGGAAGAGGAGUGGAGGCGAGGCAUCGAGAGCGCAUGGAGCGGUCGAUGCGCCGCCCGCUGAGGGGCGAUUCGACCCAGAAGCUCAUCAACAGGAUCUGUGUAGAGGCCACUCCGGAGGAAUUAGAGCAGCUGUUACCAGGGAGAUCGACCUCGCCGGAGAAAAUCGUCAGAUGGGCGCGUGCGGAGAUGAAUUCGUCAGAUCCGGAGCAGCGGGCGAGAUGGAGGGCAUUCUGGUCCCUCCAGCCGCCGUCCCGCUGAACCUACACGGCGCUCCGAGGGGAUCGACCGGGGAGGCUCGCCGUGGAUGCGUGCCAGAGUAUCCGCUGGAGUCGGGUUUGGAUUCCCCUCUCCGUAGAGCUGCACACCAGUCCCCGUCGCAGCUGAGGAAUCUGACUAGCAAGAGAGCUGCCGCCCGCCACUUCCGAGCUCGCCAGACAGUGCAGAUCACCGUCGUCGGUGAGAUCCCCUACUUCAUCAAUGAUGGAAAAAGUUCAGAGGACCUGCUGGAUUUUGGGAGUGCAGAGCAGCUGGAAAAGAGGAGGGAAAAUUCAAAUCAGGCUGAGCUGGAAAGCGUGCCAGGAGAAGAUGAGGAAGAGGGCCUGAGUGAGAUUUUUGGACAAUUGUGGAUCGAUGAGGAAAUUGUUAACCCUAACGCAGCUACAAAAUCCCACCCCGUCCUCGUGUGGGUAAGAAGAGAUCUCAUCCCCACGCGUAGCUUCACCACCGCCGACUGCUACCCUGCCCAGAACCAAAUCGAGGAAGGGAUUGAUCGCAGCAGAGUGAGAUUCAUCUCAAUUUCUCGGGGCGGGUGGGCAGGAUCACCCCCAGAUCUUGCCAAACUCAGAGCUAUGGCAGAUCGCGGGAGAGGGAGAGGGAGAGGGCAAGGGCAUGAGAAGAGAUCGGGGGACAGAUCCCAGAACAGCAACGCGGAGGGUGGCAAUCAGGGGCAAUGA
rnacentral:rRNA from 1 species